rnacentral:rRNA from 1 species
AGCAGUCGCCGCGGUAAUACGGAGGGUGCAAGCGUUAAUCGGAAUUACUGGGCGUAAAGCGCACGCAGGCGGUUUGUUAAGUCAGAUGUGAAAUCCCCGAGCUUAACUUGGGAACUGCAUUUGAAACUGGCAAGCUAGAGUCUUGUAGAGGGGGGUAGAAUUCCAGGUGUAGCGGUGAAAUGCGUAGAGAUCUGGAGGAAUACCGGUGGCGAAGGCGGCCCCCUGGACAAAGACUGACGCUCAGGUGCGAAAGCGUGGGGAGCAAACAGGAUUAGAUACCCCGGUAGUCCCUGUCUCUUAUAC